AAGUUCCCAUGAUUCUUUCCAUAAGAGAAAAGCCAUGUCCUAUAAAACCGAAAUAAUUUCCAUAUUAAAACAAUCAAGUUCCAAAGUAACUGAGUUAAUAUGUUAUUCAGCCUCAAAACCAAAACCACAAUUUGUUGGCAUCAUGCAUUAAGGGACACAGAACAACCUCAUUCUGGAUCCACACCAUUCUGGUUUCUUGAACACAUGUUAAAAAUACUUUUGUCAUCUGUGUUAAAAUUGCUUUUAUCUGAGAAUCAUAUCAACAACCUCCCCGCCCUUAAUGAAAAAUUUCCACAACUCAUAUGCUCAUAGAACCUGUCUAAAGCAAAUGCAAAAAAAUAGGACCAUUUUACCAUAGAAAUUGAGGUUUAUUAAGUAUUCAUAUUCCAUCAACAAUCCCUGGACUCUGAUCCCAAAAUAUAGGGAAAUGCCAUGAGUACUUCUAUAAUUUCUUUAUCAUAUAUAACAUAGUGCAUAUGUUGUUAUAUUACUCAAAGGCUCAAAGCAUGAGGGAUCAAAUUACCAUGCUAAAAUAAAUUAUAUAUUUUAAGUAUUGCCUCACUAGAGCAUAUUGUGGGAAUAUUGAAGGUCGGAACAAAAUAACAGCCGGCAGUGCAUGAGAAUUAUAAAGGGCAUAUAAGUG
rnacentral:misc_RNA from 1 species